AUACGGAGGGUGCGAACGUUGUUCGGAAUCACUGGGCGUAAAGGGCGCGCAGGCGGUUUGUCAAGUCAGAUGUGAAAGGCCACGGCUCAACCGUGGAGGUGCAUCUGAAACUGGCAGACUCGAGUACCGGAGGGGAAAGUGGAAUUCCCGGUGUAGAGGUGAAAUUCGUAGAUAUCGGGAGGAACACCGGAGGCGAAGGCGACUUUCUGGACGGAUACUGACGCUGAGGCGCGAAAGCGUGGGGAGCAAACAGGAUUAGAAACCCUAGUAGUCC
rnacentral:rRNA from 1 species